rnacentral:rRNA from 1 species
UACAGAGGUCUCAAGCGUUGUUCGGAUUCAUUGGGCGUAAAGGGUGCGUAGGUGGCGCUGUAAGUCGGGUGUGAAAUUUCGGAGCUUAACCCCGAAACUGCAUUCGAUACUGGCGUGCUUGAGGACUGGAGAGGAGACUGGAAUUCAUGGUGUAGCAGUGAAAUGCGUAGAGAUCAUGAGGAAGACCAGUGGCGAAGGCGGGUCUCUGGACAGUUCCUGACACUGAGACACGAAGGCCAGGGGAGCAAACGGG